CCACUGGACGGACUGAGGCGCCGCCGCUGCGUCACUGCCGCAAAUAUCACCAGAAGAAGAAGAAGAAGCAGCAGCAGCAGAAGAAGAAGAAGCCUGACUCUCCCGGUGAAAGCUCUGGAAACACGUUUGCCUUUGAUUGUGUUGAAGUCCAAACAGCAGCUGGUUCUGACAGAGACCCGGACCUGGAGCGGACCCGGAGCGGAGCCGGGUCAGCGGUAACAACGGAAGAAGAAGAAGAAGAAGAAGCGGGUCAUCGUCCCGGAAGUGGUCAGUCCUCGGCAGGUUAACCGCUGUUAGCAGCCUUCAACAUGAGCCGAGUAGCUUUGAAACCCAGAGAGCAGGACGACGAGGACGACUUCUACGACUGCCAGGAGACUCUGGAGCCUCCAGACCGAAGACAGGACGCAGAGAGUGAGACAGGACGACAGGAGGAGGAGCAGGGCGACAGGCUGCAGGAGGAGGAGCAGGGCGACAGGCUGCAG